CAGUAUUUACCGCAUGGUAGAUAUUUGAAAGGAGCAAUUGCUUCACUAUGAGAUGGACCUGCGUUGUAUUAGCUAGUUGGUGAGGUAACGGCUCACCAAGGCAUCGAUACAUAGCCGACCUGAGAGGGUGAUCGGCCACACUGGGACUGAGACACGGCCCAGACUCCUACGGGAGGCAGCAGUAGGGAAUCUUCGGCAAUGGGGGCAACCCUGACCGAGCAACGCCGCGUGAGUGAAGAAGGUUUUCGGAUCGUAAAGCUCUGUUGUAAGAGAAGAACCGUGAGAAGAGUGGAAAGUUUCUCACUUGACGGUAUCUUAC
rnacentral:rRNA from 1 species